AUUUUGGCACAUAUGCCAAAAUUGGAAUAAUACAGAGAAGAUGAGCAUGGCCCUGUGCAAGGAUGACAUGCAAAUUCCUGAAGCAUUCCAUAUUUUU
rnacentral:snRNA from 1 species